UAAAGGAAGCGAUUCCGGCUACGGAUGGGCAUGCGGCGCAUUAACUAGUCGGCGGGGUAACGGCCCACCGAGGCGACGAUGCGUAGGGGUUCUGAGAGGAAGGUCCCCCACACUGGUACUGAGACACGGACCAGACUCCUACGGGAGGCAGCAGUGAGGAAUAUUGGUCAAUGGGCGAGAGCCUGAACCAGCCAAGUCGCGUGAGGGAAGACGGUCCUAUGGAUUGUAAACCUCUUUUGUCGGGGAGCAAAAAGGCCUCGUGAGGCCACAAGCGAGAGUACCCGAAGAAAAAGCAUCGGCUAACUCCGUGCCAGCAGCCGCGGUAAUACGGAGGAUGCGAGCGUUAUCCGGAUUUAUUGGGUUUAAAGGGUGCGUAGGCGGACUGGAAAGUCAGCGGUAAAAUCGAGAGGCUCAACCUCUUUCCGCCGUUGAAACUGUCGGUCUUGAGUGGGCGAGAAGUAUGCGGAAUGCGUGGUGUAGCGGUGAAAUGCAUAGAUAUCACGCAGAACUCCGAUUGCGAAGGCAGCAUACCGGCGCCCGACUGACGCUGAGGCACGAAAGCGUGGGUAUCGAACAGGAUUAGAUACCCUGGUAGUCCACGCAGUAAACGAUGAAUACUAAUUGUCCGGUCAGAAUGAUGACUGG
rnacentral:rRNA from 1 species